UGGGGCGGCCUCUUGCAGUUCCCGCCCUGACGCAGCGCGAGAUUAGAGCUCCCGCUAGUCUCCCGCUGACCCUGGGCCUCAAAGGCAAGCCCUGAGCUCAGUCACACGGGGUGGCGGUGAUAUGGUUUGGCUCUGUGUGCUUCACUCUGCCUCACUCGCCUUCCGCCUGCUCGACGCUGCCCUGUUCCCCGCAGGCGGCCGCCGUGGAGGGCAGGCACCGCGCUCCCUGGCUGCUCCCGGGGCCUUCCAAGCACAGCCACGGCCAUGAGGCAGAAACCGAGACCUUCAGGGGCCUGCGGGCGGAGCUCCACAAGCCCAGCUGCUACACUGAAGGGAAAAACCUGAGGAAGCCCCUGACCUUCUUGAAUAACCUGGAUAUUGCAGAAUCAAGCCUGGCACACGGCACUGGCAGAGACGCAGAAGGGAAAGUGUCCAGCGAUGAGAGAUACCGGCCAGGGGGCAAAUCUUCAGCUUGCAGCACUCACUUUGCAGAUCCAGUUGGAAUUAUUUGUGUUGACGCUCUCUGCUCUCUCCGCUCUCCCCUGGAAAUGACGAGGAACUGAGUACAGUGGACAAUGGCUUCCGUGUCCCCAGCUCCCCCCGAGCCAUGAGCUGCUACAUCAAAGGUCUGCAGUGGGCUUCCCUUCCCAUAAUAUUUCAAUUUAAGCACCGACUCGCUGCUGCGGAAUCACAUCUCAUUCACGCUGCGGCCUUUGCAGGAGUCAGGGAUCAUUAUGGAGCAAGCACUGAGAAAAAACAGAUUACAGCCUGGCACCGAGCAGCCAGGUUGCACCCCAGAUGCUUCAGGGACAUGGUGCCUGCUCUGGAGAAUGGGGCAGCUUCCACAGUGCCCAGGAGCCAGGGCUUCUGACCCAGGAGCGAAAGUCUGUCUCUUCCAUUUCUGGGAGCUGGAAGUAUUUGCAUGACUUUCUGGGCCUCAGGUAUCCCAUUGCCCACCAGGAAUUACCUUCCUCCAGGAUCAUGGUGAAGAUGACAUGAGAUGCUAAUGCUUGGCCUGCGGUAAGUACGUUGUAAAUGUAUAAACUGUUAUUUUAAAUCACAUGUGCUGACCCAUUUCCUUUAAAGGACCCUUUAAAGGGUCCACUGAAAAUCCCAUAUGAUUAAUUAUAGCUUUGACUGAUGAACUGGCUGGAGGAGUCCAGAAAUUGUGCUUCUGCAGUCUAGGGCUCAUGUAGUCUGGGCUGCUUGAGGAGCUGGGGUCGCACUAUAGGUUCAUCCCCUGUGACCCCGUCACCUGCCUACAGGUGUACACUCCUCACCAUCUCCCCAUGACCCCACUACCUGCCCACAGGUAUACUCUCCCACCAUCCCCCUGUGACCCCACCAGCUGCCCACAGGUGUACUCUCCCACCAUCUCCCUGUGACCCCAUUCCCUGCCCACAGCUGUAUUCUGCCCACAAUCCCCCUGUGACCCCAUCACCUGCCCUCAGGUGUAUUCUCCCCACCAUCCCCCUGUGACCCCAUCAUCUGCCCUCAGGUGUAUUCUCCUCACCAUCCCCCUGUGACCCCAUCACCUGCCCACAGGUGUAUUCUCCUCACCAUCCCCCUGUGACCCCAUCACCUGCCCUCAGGUGUAUUCUCCCCACCAUCCCCCUAUGACCCCAUCACUGCCCUCAGGUGUAUUUCUCCUCACUCAUCCGCCCGUGACCC
rnacentral:lncRNA from 1 species